AAUUGGAGAGAUAACUUUUUCGGUGGAGAUAGCAAAUUAAGCUGCCAAGGAAUCCAAGAAAGAGAAGAUAAACGGAAAAUUUUCUAAGUAAAAUCGAAGGUUUUGGUGAAUCGGAGGAGAUGGCAUACGGAGCUGCGGAAAUGAAGGCUGAUCGGUUCAUGACUAAACUUUUCGUACUCAUCUUCUUUCUUCAAGGUGUUCAUUCUCAAUCAUCAUCACGAAACAGAUUAAACAUUGCAAAACCUGGCCACACAGAUGCUUCUCCCCCGGUCACGCUUAAGAAAGUUGGUCGUAACCAAG